CAGUCAAAGAUGUUUUCCGUGCACCUCUGAGCUGUGACAGCUGCUGUGUUCUGGGGUAGACACUGCUUCUCCCAGACUUUGAAGGUUUUGUGAGGUCAGAAAAGUGGCUCCCUCUGCCUCCAGCCCACCUGUUGUGUCUGUUGCGGGACUCUUGGAGGAAGUUUCUGAGCUGUGCCUUGUGGAUGGUGGCUGUGUGUUAUGCUGUCUCAGAGGAGAGCGUGAGGCUUGCCUGGGAAGGAAGCCACCACGGAUUCCUAGCUAGAAGCUAAAGUGAAGGUCAGAGACGGAGAAUAACUGGGAGCUGAAACAGGAAGCCCCAUGACACAGUUGAUCGAAAAUGACACAGACACAGAAAAAUCAGGACGUGCCCCCAGCAGCACCCCUACCUGCUGCCUGCUGAUCACGGCUGGGAGGCCCGUCCAGGGUUCCCACCCGGGAACGGACUCUUAGCUACUCAGUGCUCACGGGUGCUGGGCCUGCAGAGCUUUUCGGAUGCUCUCUUACAGCUGGUUUGUUAUCUUUUAAUCAAUCAACUAAUUAAUCUAUUACUUUAUUUAUUGGCCCUCCCCAUGUCUUGAUCCUUUCUUCAUUAAAAGCAAAAGGAAAGAAA
rnacentral:lncRNA from 7 species